GGACAUGUAGCUCAGUUGGUUAGAGCGUCACGUUGACAUCGUGAAGGUCACUGGUUCAAAUCCAGUUAUGUCUA
rnacentral:tRNA from 1 species